rnacentral:rRNA from 1 species
AAUUCGAUUAGUUGAUCAUGGCUCAGAAUGAACGUUGGCGGCGUGGAUUAGGCAUGCAAGUCGUACGGGCCGCAAGGCCAGUGGCGCAAGGGUGAGUAAGGCGACGGUAACCAACCCCAUGACUGGGUAUAGCCGCGGGAAACUGCGGGUAAUCCCCAGCGACGUCACGAGGGGGCAUCCCCCCGUGACCAAAGCCCCGGCGUCGUGGGACGGGCUGUCGUGGUAUUAGCUUGUUGGCGGGGUAACGGCCCACCAAGGCUGUGAUGCCUACCGGGCGUGCGAGCGUGGCCCGGCACACUGGGACUGAGACACUGCCCAGACUCCUACGGGAGGCUGCAGUCGAGAAUCUUCGGCAAUGGGCGCAAGCCUGACCGAGCGACGCCGCGUGGAGGACGAAGGCCUUCGGGUUGUAAACUCCUGUCGAGGGGGAAGAAGGGCCCUUAAAAGCCUUGACUGAUCCCUGGAGGAAGCACGGGCUAAGUUCGUGCCAGCAGCCGCGGUAAGACGAACCGUGCGAACGUUAUUCGGAAUCACUGGGCUUAAAGCGCGUGUAGGCGGGCCGGCACGUCGGUCGUUGAAAUCCCCCGGCUCAACCGGGGGAAGUGGCGCCGAUACGACCGGCCUGGAGGAACGUAGGGGGAGCUGGAACUUCCGGUGGAGCGGUGAA